AGCUGGAUAACGCUCCUUCAAAUCACGACGCUGCUGGCGCAUCUGCAAUUGUUAAGAAAUUAUACAUAUUCAGUCCACAAAAUAACACAUAUUUUAGGCCAAUCAUUGUCGGCAAACAUAUCCAUUAAUGCAUCAAGUGCUUCGGAUAUUGUCCACACAUCCUCCUCCUAAAUUGAAAUAACAUGCUUCCACGAUGAAUGUGAUGAUUAUGCGAACUAAAUUUUCUGACAACAGGCAACCCAAUGUGCCCAACAUACGCAACCAAUUCGCACGUAUUUCUGCCACACUGCAGUUCUUUACACCAUUGAAAAUUAACUGUAAAUUUAAGGAAAUUUUUAAGAAAAUUGUAUAUAUAUUAUUGGUGAGAAUAAUUAAUGUAUACCUCUAAGUCA